CCUACGGGAGGCAGCAGUGGGGAAUAUUGCACAAUGGGCGAAAGCCUGAUGCAGCAACGCCGCGUGAGCGAUGAAGGCCUUCGGGUCGUAAAGCUCUGUCCUCAAAGAAGAUAAUGACGGUACUUGAGGAGGAAGCCCCGGCAAACUACGUGCCAGCAGCCGCGGCAAUACGUAGGGGGCCAGCGUUAUCCGGAAUUACUGGGCGUAAAGGGGGCGUAGGUGGUUUGUAAAGUCAGAGGUGAAAGGCUACGGCUCAACCGUAGUAAGCCGUUGAAACGGGGAAACUUGAGUGCGGGAGAGGAGAGUGGAAUUCCUAGUGUAGCGGUGAAAUGCGUAGAUAUUAGGAGGAACGCCAGUGGCGAAGGCAGCUCUCUGGACUGUAACUGACACUGAGGCACGAAAGCGUGGGGAGCAAACAGGAUUAGAUACCCGGGUAGUC
rnacentral:rRNA from 1 species